GCCGCAGUAGCUCAGUUGGUAAGAGCAUCGCAUGCAUAAUGUGAAGACGUGGGUUCAUGUCCCACCUGUGGCC